UGACAGCAAGUCCCACCUGGGGGAACAGCCCAGGAAAGCCAAAGGGCACUGAAACUGAGGCGUGAGGCAAGCACCAGUUUUGGCUUUUCCUCCUCUCAGAACUUCUCUGAGCUGAACACUGCUGGAACUAGGAGAGAUUGACUCUUAUCUCACAGUAUGAACAUGACCAGUGGCUACAGUUCCCUCUGUUGGUUUCACUGUGAGAGACCACAUCAGGUGUUUUGCACAGGCUGUCCACCACACUGACUGCCUUUUGGCACCAAGUACCUGUGGAGAAAGAAGACAACGUUUGCAGAGAACUUUUAAAACUUUAAAACAUUUGGGAGAGCCGCUGCCAGAGGGCGCUGCUGGCCAGCCCAGACAUGGCCACAGAGCAUUUCCCUGCUGGCACAGGUCAGGGAACUGGAACACCGCAUCUCCCUGGCUGGCAUCCCUUGUUCAACCCCUAAGCACUGGGACAGCACAGCCUGGGCACUGGAAUGCCUUCUGUGAUUUCUCCUUGGGAAACAGAGCUGCUGUGCAGAGUGCCUGUGUCCUUCAGGAGCAGCAGAUGAGAUGGGAUGCUUAUGGAGGAUGCUAUGUGAUAGGAGUGCAGAAAUUCUGCCAUGGGAUGGUGGCUUCCACGGUGCUAUUCUCACAAUUGACAGUUAGCUUUGUAUUCCUGACAUUUGGUGGGAGCAGGGCAGGGCAGGGAGAAUUAAACAAAGAAAAAUGCAUGUUUUCUACAUUCCAACAACAUCAAAACACCAGGGCUAAUGAAAUCCGAGCUCUACCAUGCCAGAAAAUAACUUAGAAGCACAAACUGGGAGCUGGCAACGUAGAGAUGCUGGGGCAGUGCCUCAAACACAAAUCCAUGAUGAAGGAAAAAUGCUGACAAAUUCACACAGGUGCUUCCUUCAUGUCCCUAAUCCAGUAGAUUUCUGAAUGCUUCCACCAUGAGAAUAAAGUAAGGAGGAG